UUCUCACACUACUGUAAGUCACUUUGGAUAAAAGCUUCUGCUAAAUGGUAUAAU
rfam:Salmo salar isolate Sally breed double haploid chromosome ssa21, whole genome shotgun sequence.